AGUCGGGUCCUGCGCAAUGGAAUCCUGUGAACCUUGUCAGGUCUGGAAGGAAGCAGCAAUAAGCGGGGCGUUUCAUGUGCCGCAGAUCAGCCGGAUUCU
rnacentral:SRP_RNA from 1 species